rnacentral:ncRNA from 1 species
GAUUUUGGACUGACUCUGUGAAGAGACAUUGAAGGUGUAGCACAGGUGGGAGGCCGGUGGCCGCUUGCGGUGCCGCGCCGACAGUGAAAUACCACUACUUUGAUCGUUUCUUUACUUAUUCGGUCAAGCGGAAGGAACGGUCGCUCGCGUGGCCGUCUCACGGCGCGCGACGACUGCCACUUUUGGUGCAAAGCCCACGGGACGCGUGCCCCGCUGUCGGCGGCACGUCGAGCACCCGUAGCAACGCGAGGUGCCGUCCAGGGCGAUCCGCUCCGAAGACAGUGUCAGGCGGGGAGUUUGACUGGGGCGGUACAUCUGUUAAACGGUAACGCAGGUGUCCCAAGGUGAGCUCAGCGAGGACAGAGGAACCAUGUGAACCAUGCGGCUGGCAGACCAUGUGAACCUUAACCUGAGGCAGAAAGGCUUUGUCAGAGGCGUCGACGGUUGUAACACUA